UACGUAGGGUGCAAGCGUUGUCCGGAAUUAUUGGGCGUAAAGAGCGUGUAGGCGGCCACUUAAGUCCUGCGUGAAAUCUUGCGGCUCAACCGCAGACGGUCGUGGGAAACUGGAUGGCUAGAGUGCGGGAGAGGAGAGUGGAAUUCCCGGUGUAGCGGUGAAAUGCGCAGAUAUCAGGAGGAACACCAAUAGCGAAGGCAGCUCGCUGGGACGGUAUUGACGCUGAGGCGCGAAAGCGUGGGGAGCAAACAGG
rnacentral:rRNA from 1 species